AAGGCGAAGCUCCUGAUCGAAGCCCCAGUAAACGGCGGCCGUAACUAUAACGGUCCUAAGGUAGCGAAAUUCCUUGUCGGGUAAGUUCCGACCUGCACGAAUGGCGUAAUGAUGGCCAGGCUGUCUCCACCCGAGACUCAGUGAAAUUGAACUCGCUGUGAAGAUGCAGUGUACCCGCGGCAAGACGGAAAGACCCCGUGAACCUUUACUAUAGCUUGACACUGAACAUUGAGCCUUGAUGUGUAGGAUAGGUGGGAGGCUUUGAAGUGUGGACGCCAGUCUGCAUGGAGCCAACCUUGAAAUACCACCCUUUAACGUUUGAUGUUCUAACCUAGGCCCAUAAACUGGGUCGGGGACCGUGUCUGGUGGGUAGUUUGACUGGGGCGGUCUCCUCCUAAAGAGUAACGGAGGAGCACGAAGGUUGGCUAAGCAUGGUCGGACAUCAUGCGGUUAGUGCAAAGGCAUAAGCCAGCUUGACUGCGAGAGUGACGGCUCGAGCAGGUACGAAAGUAGGUCUUAGUGAUCCGGUGGUUCUGAAUGGAAGGGCCAUCGCUCAACGGAUAAAAGGUACUCCGGGGAUAACAGGCUGAUACCGCCCAAGAGUUCAUAUCGACGGCGGUGUUUGGCACCUCGAUGUCGGCUCAUCACAUCCUGGGGCUGAAGUAGGUCCCAAGGGUAUGGCUGUUCGCCAUUUAAAGUGGUACGCGAGCUGGGUUUAGAACGUCGUGAGACAGUUCGGUCCCUAUCUGCCGUGGGCGUUGGAAGAUUGAGAGGGGUUGCUCCUAGUACGAGAGGACCGGAGUGAACGCACCACUGGUGUUCGGGUUGUCAUGCCAAUGGCAUUGCCCGGUAGCUAAGUGCGGAAGAGAUAACCGCUGAAAGCAUCUAAGCGGGAAACUUGCCUCGAGAUGAGUCUUCCCUGUCGCUUUAAGCGACCUAAAGGAACGUUUAAGACUAAGACGUUGAUAGGCUGGGUGUGUAAGCGUAGCGAUACGUUGAGCUAACCAGUACUAAUGAACCGUGAGGCUUAACCUG
rnacentral:rRNA from 1 species